rnacentral:rRNA from 1 species
CACGUAGGGUGCGAGCGUUGUCCGGAAUUAUUGGGCGUAAAGAGCUCGUAGGCGGUGUGUCGCGUCGGCCGUGAAAACCUGCAGCUUAACUGUGGGCUUGCGGUCGAUACGGGCAUCACUGGAGUUCGGCAGGGGAGACUGGAAUUCCUGGUGUAGCGGUGAAAUGCGUAGAUAUCAGGAGGAACACCGGUGGCGAAGGCGGGUCUCUGGGCAAUAACUGACGCUGAGGAGCGAAAGCGUGGGGAGCGAACAGG